rnacentral:snRNA from 1 species
AACCCGUCUGAUAGCGCUU